rnacentral:rRNA from 1 species
UACGUAGGGUGCGAGCGUUGUCCGGAAUUACUGGGCGUAAAGAGCUCGUAGGUGGUUUGUCGCGUUGUUCGUGAAAUCUCACGGCUUAACUGUGAGCGUGCGGGCGAUACGGGCAGACUAGAGUACUGCAGGGGAGACUGGAAUUCCUGGUGUAGCGGUGGAAUGCGCAGAUAUCAGGAGGAACACCAGUGGCGAAGGCGGGUCUCUGGGCAGUAACUGACGCUGAGGAGCGAAAGCGUGGGGAGCGAACAGG